rnacentral:tRNA from 1 species
UCCCAGUUGACGUAGUGGUAAAGAAUUUGCCUGCCAAUGCAAGAGACACAGGUUCAAUUCCUGGGUUGGGAA